ACCAUUGUGGCAUAGUGGUUUGAGCACUGGACUGCGACUCUGGUGACGGGGUUCGAAUCUCAGCUCUGUCC